rnacentral:ncRNA from 1 species
CUGAUUGAUCCUGCCAGUAGUUAUAUGCUUGUCUCAAAGAUUAAGCCAUGCAUGUCUAAGUACACACAAAUUAACAGUGAAACCGCUAAAGGCUCAUUAUAUCAGUUAUGGUUCCUUAGAUCGUUAACAGUUACUUGGAUAACUGUGGUAAUUCUAGAGCUAAUACAUGCAAUUAAAACACGGACCUUUUGGAACGUGUGCUUUUAUUAGGCUAAAACCAAGCGAUCGCAAGAUCGUUUUAUUGGCUGAACUCUAGAUACAUGCAGAUCGUAUGGUCUUGUACCGACGACAGAUCUUUCAAAUGUCUGCCCUAUCAACUUUUGAUGGUAGUAUCUAGGACUACCAUGGUUGCAACGGGUAACGGGGAAUCAGGGUUCGAUUCCGGAGAGGGAGCCUGAGAAACGGCUACCACAUCUAAGGAAGGCAGCAGGCGCGUAAAUUACCCACUCCCAGCUCGGGGAGGUAGUGACGAAAAAUAACAAUACAGGACUCAUAUCCGAGGCCCUGUAAUUGGAAUGAGUACACUUUAAAUCCUUUAACAAGGACCUAUUGGAGGGCAAGUCUGGUGCCAGCAGCCGCGGUAAUUCCAGCUCCAAUAGCGUAUAUU